CUGUUCUGUGCUUCCUGUGGAGGGAGGCAAGAGAAAAGAGAGCCCGGGAUCAAUUAAGGGCCGACAUUUUCCCCAAGUGUGGUGUGUACGGUACAUAUCCUGCACAGACAACCAGCAAAUGAUCUUCCAUCGCUUCGAAUACCAAAAAGUAUGACGAUUGGAGAACAACUUAAGAAGCCAAUGGGUCCUGACAUGACAGAUGAC